GUUGAACGCUGGCGGCAGGCCUAACACAUGCAAGUCGAACGGUAGCACAGAGAGCUUGCUCUCGGGUGACGAGUGGCGGACGGGUGAGUAAUGUCUGGGAAACUGCCUGAUGGAGGGGGAUAACUACUGGAAACGGUAGCUAAUACCGCAUAAUGUCGCAAGACCAAAGAGGGGGACCUUCGGGCCUCUUGCCAUCGGAUGUGCCCAGAUGGGAUUAGCUUGUUGGUGAGGUAAAAGCUCACCAAGGCGACGAUCCCUAGCUGGUCUGAGAGGAUGACCAGCCACACUGGAACUGAGACACGGUCCAGACUCCUACGGGAGGCAGCAGUGGGGAAUAUUGCACAAUGGGCGCAAGCCUGAUGCAGCCAUGCCGCGUGUGUGAAGAAGGCCUUCGGGUUGUAAAGCACUUUCAGCGGGGAGGAAGGCGGUGAGUUUAAUAAGCUCACCGAUUGACGUUACCCGCAGAAGAAGCACCGGCUAACUCCGUGCCAGCAGCCGCCGUAA
rnacentral:rRNA from 1 species